UACAGAGGAUGCAAGCGUUAUCCGGAAUCACUGGGCAUAAAGCGUCUGUAGGUGGUUUGACAAGUCUGCUGUUAAAGACUAGGGCUUAACCCUAGGAAAGCAGUGGAAACUGUUAGACUUGAGUAUGGUAGAGGUAGAGGGAAUUCCUAGUGUAGCGGUGAAAUGCGUAGAUAUUAGGAAGAACACCAAUGGCGAAAGCACUCUGCUGGGCCACAACUGACACUGAGAGACGACAGCUAGGGGAGCAAAUGGG
rnacentral:rRNA from 1 species